AGAAGAGAUGAUUUAAGUAACUUUGGAAAUGUGUGGAGUCUAUAAAAUUAAAGGCAAAAGAGAUGGAAUAUAAGCAUUACACUUCAGCUGGUAAAGUUUUUUUCAUUUUGUUUUGUUUUGUUUUUUUCUCAUGGGAGGUUAACAAUUUUGAUACUCUAUGCAAGUACACUAGAAUACAGUGAUCAGGAAAAUGAAUGGAAGAAGCCCAGAGCCAUAUUCUCACCUCUGGAGUGGAAUUUACACAAGAAAGAUGAUGCAAACCAAAUUGUGAGGAAUUACAUUACAUUCAUACAAAGUCAAGUGGAAGCUCAGAAGAGAGA